AAACUAGCUGUUCAUUAGAAUCUCCUGAGAAGCUUUAUAGAAAUAGCAAUACUGGGAUUCUAACUCCACAGAUUCUAAUUUGAUUGGUCAGGGGCAGGCCAGCCAAUCAGCAUUUUUAAAAAGCCUCCUGAGUGAUUUCAGCAUUAAAAACCACUAGCAUGUGGGUAAUCUGACCUCUAGGCUUGAGCAAUCGAGGGGUCAGAAGGCCAGCUUGCUUGAAAGUAGGGAUAGUUCAAAAGCAUGUUUAAGCAAGUUUAAGAUAAAUUUAAACGUGAAAUGGAGAAGGGAAAGAAUUAUAAACCACAGCCUCAGGGAUUAUUUGGGUGUAGUGAGCAUUUUAGAUUGAAGGAAAGGGGAAUUUUUUUAAAUUGAUGGAAGUGUCAAAGAGUACAACUGAGAUAAAUUGAAAUUGAAAAUUCUUUCUGGGGCUGUUGUACACUAGGACCCUGUCAUACAUUUAUACUGAGCUUAAAAUAAUCCUAGAGACAUCUCUAUUCUUUUAAAAAAUGUUUAAUUUUGCAGUUCUCCACAUUGCUUUGUGGUAUGCAACUGUAAAAUUGGUUAGGGUCAUGCAAAAUGUGAAAUCUGAUUGGAUAGUAAUUAUCUUCAUUUACACAACACCCAACUGAAGGAAAUAACGAUCAUUUUUAGACUUUACAAAAUACAAGCUAAAAGUGAAAUUCUGCUAAAGUUAAUUUUAUAAAGAUUCUGAUUUUAUUUCUUUUUUUUUUUGUUUAUAACUUGGAUGAGUUGGAACAAAAAAUAGAAAAGUUUUGAAAGAAAUGGUGAAGGGACUCUAGCAAAGAAGGUGGCAGCAAAUGAAUGAGAAAAAUGACAGACGGCCGGGGAUUUAGCUCAGUGGUUCUGCCGCCCGCCUCAAAAGCACAUGGUCCCGAGCUGGAUCCCCGGUACUAAAAAAGCAAUGCAAACCCAUACUGUCAAUAUACUUAUUGUACUUACUGGAUGAACAAAUGACCUCCAAAGAUAGGUCUAGUUUUGCAUGUUAGGAUGCUAUAAUGACUGAGGCAUUAGUAACGAAAUCAAACUUUUCUCGAAAAACACUCCCCAGACGUGUUUCCAAGUACUGCACCCAGCACCUCCCUGUAGGUAUUCUGAAAGUCCCUGAGCUCUCUGUCUUGCUUUCGGGCAGCCACCCACACUCCCACAUACUGAAGGAGAGGUAUCUAUCUGAGGGUCUAUGAAGAAAGGACUUUCAUUUGUUCAUAAGUUUUGGGCAGGUUCACCUCGGAGAAUCAAUCCCUAGAAUGAAGGGGAAAGCAACCAAAAAGAGCUCCAUUCUUUCAUCCUUUGGAAAAUGGAGUGGAAAGAGUAACUGCCUCUUACUGGUCCUUAAUGGGUUACUGCUCCAAAAUCAAAUGAGCAAGUUGGGAGAGACGAGUUUUCGCAGUGUCUUGUGGCUCUGCGCUCACCCACAGUACCCUCGAACAAAGCGCCCCGUUUGGCUUCUGUUUGCUGCGUCAGCGAGUACGCAGAGCCGCCUCCCCUACGCUGCCAGGUACUAAGCUCCAGGACCAACACCCACCAAUUCUCUGCUCUCGGGUUUGUGCCGAGAGAAGCCGACGGACAGACAGGUAAACUGCGUGACUCAUCAAGUGGGUAUAAACGCCAUCACGGGGAAUAAAAGGAUUACUGGAGAUACUAGCACGGGGCUCUGGGGCCAAAGUUACAUCAGCGUUAUGAGGAAAACUACUACCCGCCCCUUUCCCGUUCAGGUCGCGGCGCGAACACGGAGCGCCCCUGCCCGACCGCUUCCUCCCACCUCCCCGACCAGCGCUCUACUGGCCGUGCACAAACCGCGCCAUCAGGCGGUCCCAGCCGCCCUGCCCUGCCUCCCUCCCCUCAGCGCCCUCCGGCACUCAUUUCUCACAGGAGGAAAAAGACGACGUCGUGAGAACUCGGACAACCUGGUCUCGUGCAAAAUUUUACAUCAGAAACAUAAACGCGAAGGAAGAAGAUACUAAAGGGGAAGUCGCCUACUGCCGCCUCUAAGGCUCAAUCCGAGCGAGAGCCAACCGACCAGGACACAAAACGGAAACCCGAGGGUCGCCCCGCUCCGCGACCCCGCCCCAUCUUUGUUCCCCUCGCGCUGGCCACGAGGCUCCAGACGCCCUCGCGACGCGGACACGCGCAGCAGCCAGCGCCCCGCCGCCCUCUCCUCGCGCGUGCCCGUCCGCGCCCGCCGUCCCCCCUCGAGCAGCCCGGGGUGGGCGCGGCCUCGGCGCCCGGGCGGGAAGUAGCGCCGUCCGCGCGGAAGGACACGCACGGCGUGGUGCGGCCUGCGCCUUUAUAUUACUCGGCGGCGGCUGUCUCGGGUUGGUCUGCGAGCUCUAAGUCCUGGAGCCCUGCUCUCCCCUCCUGCGGGUCGGCCCUGGUAGCUCCUGGCAGGUGUCAGUAGGCCAGGCCCGGAUUCCCCCAAACUUAAACGCUGGGCGCCCGAGUUUCGAUUUCUUCUGCUGCGAAACAAUGGUCGUUGGGAUUCGAAGUGAGAGAAUGCAGGGCAAAUCGCCUAACAGUAUUUAGUGAGUUCUCCAGAGCAUAGCCAGUACUACAAGCAGCAACACGGACAGAACUGAGCAGCACUAUCGGGGGUGGGGGUGGGGGUGGGGGUGGCAAAAGACCACAGUCUGAUUUCACUUCUAUGAAAUUUUAGAGGUAAACUGUAGCGACAGCAUUUGCCUGGGGAGGAGAAACCAGGACCUAAUGCAGUGCAAAGGAGCGGGGGAGGGGGGACUUAGAAGAGGUGAAAGAAUGUACUCUGCAUCUUAAUGGGAACGGUGGUUACGCGACUUACACGGCGGCCAAAAUUCAUAGAAUUGUAGUCUCUAGAUGGGCGAAGCUUAUCUUCAAGUUAUAUACAAAAUUUCCUCAGAGUUGGGGCAAAAAGUUUUAAAAAUGAUCACUGCUAGGCGUAGUUGAGGACUUAAGUUUGUGGGGAGAAAAUACCAGUUUACAAAAAUCUGAGCGUUAGACGCAUGCAGUCUCUGAAUGUAGUAGCUUCUCCGAGUCCUCUAGAACCAGGGGAUAGCCUAGGUCCGAGGAGGAUCCAGGAUUGCAAGCAGGAUCCUAAAUUUGCUAGGGUCUGUUGAUGUAGAGGAUUGGCCUCCGUGUGGCAUCCUUUCCCUGGAUGAGGGUCGGGCUUCAACACUGCCCCCUUGAUGGGAUGUUCCCGCGGGUCCCCCUUGCCCCAGACUCAUGAGGAACUACAGUCCAUCUCCCCCUGGCUUCCCUGACAGUUGGCUGGUGGGAUCCAGGGCUGGGCCCAGAGCAGUGAGAACUAGAGGCCCGUGAGGAGAGCCUCACAAAAGAGGCAGAAAACAAGUAGUAGCCAGCGUGUACGCUCAGGCCCCUUCCUCCCAUCCACACAGUUCUGCAUGGAAGCUGCCUUUGAGGACUGAGCAAUCCAACUGUACUUUCCUGUGAAGUUGCUUUCAGAUCAAUAAUGCACCACUGCAUCUGGCCUCCCUGGCCUAGAAAUUACCUUCUAAUCACAUCUCGGCGCUUAAACUUGGCCUCAGGCUCAGCUUUCUAAUCAACCCUUUAGCAGUCUUUGGGCUUUAGAUCUGUGCUUUCUUCAAAUUUCACAAUCACAAGCAGAAUUAGGACCUUUUUCCCCUCCCUUGCUUUGGCCGUGGUUUACUGUCCCACUAAAGUGCUAGUUUAUUUGGGUAACUCCGAUAUAAUUUAUUAGUCCAUGUUCGCAGCACAUAAUGGUUCCAUUCCUUGUGUGGAGUUGGUCUGUGUACAGAACACAUCUUAAUUACUUUUUUUCAUCUUUUCCUCUCCUUUGACAAAGAUGUCUCCCUACGUCCUAUUUAUAAUUGGGUUUCUCACAUAAGAUCAUGUGAUACGUAAGUGCUGAUGGGUUUAGGUGAUCCCUUGGGGCCAAUGCUGAAUACAUGUAUUUUUUGUUUUGAAGUAGUGGACCCCCCCCCAUUUGAAGUUGGUAGAGGUAAAAGUUUUGCCUUACAUUUAUUGGUUUCUAGUAGAGCUCCCUCAGGAGUGCUCGAUCCUGGGCACUUACCGGUUUUAAACAGUUGGAAGCUUGAAAGCCUUGAAGUAGGAACCAAAGACCUUUCAAUUAUCCGAUAAAGCUGUGAGCCUAGGUGGGAAGACUGAGGCCUAAUUGGCCUCUUCGGCCAGCACUGAGAGGAAAAGGGGGAUCCAAGCGAGCUAACACGCCGCAGGGAGAAGUAGAAACACCGGAGGGUAGGUUGUUUACCCGGAGAAGUACCGUGGGGGUGGAGACAGAUGGAUUCUGUGAACUGUAAUUGCUCUGCCCGUGUCUGGGUGAAUAAAGCCAAGGUGGCCAGUGGCUUGCGGCUCUAUAUCGAAGGGAGACGUGAGCUCUCGGGCCUCCCAGAUUUUAAACCUGUUUGUGUGUGGCUAUUUGUUCAUCCUCCACACCCCUCGGUUAGAUUUGAGCUCGGAGGCUGGUCCUACAUGAGUCUAGGGUCUAGUUACAUGAUUUCAGCCUACUGUAAAACCACAUUCUAUCUUUCCUAAAAUCAGGGGAGGGUAUAUUAAAGCCUUGUUUAAAGUGACCUCUAGUUGAUAAUUUUUGUAAGUGUUUUUCUUUGCAUUAUUUUAAAUAUUGGAAACGUCAGUAAAUUCAUGUUUUUAACGACAGCAGCCACCACACCAUGGUUUUGUGGCCAAGUGUUUAUUGACAGUUUGUCAGGCCUCACUCUGGGUUUCCCUCCCUCCCUCCCUAGCUUGCCAACCAACUGUAACUUGAUCAGUUUGAGAUGGGACUGCCCAGGGUCAUAUGUUAAAUAAGACACGUCCACUUUUCUGAUUACAAAAUCCUCCCUUGCCUGGCCACUUAAAAACUUAGAUAAUCUACAAACACAUAGAUCUAAGGAUUUCUGCUACAUACCUUAGAGGUCACACCUGCAAAUUUGCCUAUUAGCACAAUAUUUCUUUAAUUACAGAUUUUUUUGUUUGUAACUAUAGGCUGUCAGAGCACUUAAAAUUUAUUCUUUAAAACAUGUUCUAUCUUCACAUUAUAGUGAAUUGACUUUUACAGAGAAAACUUUGUCGUUCUACCAUGUUUAUAACUUUUAAUUUUUGCAUUUGAAAAAUGCUUUAGCUGAGGUUACAUUCAGUUACAAGCAAAACUGAAGCCAGGUAGUACACAUAAUGCAUUUAAACAUUUUCCCAAAAACCAAAAGACAUUUAAGAAUAUCUUUGGGUUACAGGCAUGCAGCAUCAGGGGACAACACUGGAUGAUUCAUCCAAUGAAAAUUUGAAUGCUGGUGAAAAAUCUAGGUGAGAUGAAGAAAAGCGAGAUCAGGGAACUUGCAAAAGAAAUGCUGUCAGAAAAUGAAAAAGAAGCUCACUGAAUGCAGGAAACAUACCAGCAUCCAAUCAACUCAUUUAAAUGGAUAGCUUGAACAGAAGCAGGAUUUCUCUCCACAGUUCUCGCAGUGGAAUCCUUGGGGAAAGAGGAAAAGAUUAAGUCAUCAUUUGAGUUUCUUCAGGCUCAACCAAAGGCUAACAAUUCACAGAAAUAUCUUGGAAUCAAAGAGAAGACUCUGGUGCUCUCACUGGCUGUUGUUUGGCACCUUGGAUAGCCAGGGCAGAGACACAAAACGAGAGCAAAGACUGUAGGAAACUUCCCUAAGAGAAGAGGGGAAAGAGAGCAUUUGGUUGCUUUGAAAUGGAUAUGUGGAAACCAGCCUCACUCGGGCAGCCUUUGCAGCCUUCUGCUGAGCUCCAGGCCCCUGCCUGGCAGCCUCUCACAGGUGACGGGCAGAAAGGGGAUUGUCUUUAGAAUCUGCACUGAAGCCACCGCCGCCUCUCCACCACUGAGAUCCAACUGGUUCCCUCUAAAAUGGCUUUUUAAAAUUUGCAAAUACAGAAACAGGCUGGGGAGAACCUAAGCAAAAGUGUACAUUUACUGGAUGAGUACUUGACCAGCUCAUGGAUUCCAAGAAGUUGACCAAGCCUCUCCCCCGAAGAGCAGGCACUGGGCAGUUCCUGGAAGCUGAGCGGCUGAACUCCACUGACCCCUCCAAAGGGCUGCCUUUAAUGACUCGAGUACCAACUCCCGAGGCUCAUCUACGGCCGCCUCACUGUGGAAAUCUAAAAAUUCUUCAGAGAUUCCCAAUGGCCUGCAUGGGCACUACAGUGUGGGCCUUUCCUUUUAAACUGAUCCUCUUUAAAAAUGGUUUCAGGCACUGCUAACCUCAGCUGAGUAGAUGGGGCUGUCGGAACCAGAUUCCGAUGCCCAGUGUAAAGAGUCAAAGUAGCAGCAGUCCCAACAGGGUAAAGUUUAAAAGAACCUAUUCUCUUGGGCAAGAUGCACUUUAAAAGUGUCUCUGCCUAGGGCUGGGGUGUGGCUCUGGUGGACUCACCCAGCUUGUCCAGGGUAGGGGUGGGAGGUUGUCUUCUGGUUUCUGGUGGCCUCAUUCAUUUAGUAAUUACUUCUAAAUAACCUGCUGUGAAUAAACCUAGACCUGUGUCUCGUGUGUGAGCAGUCUUAAGGGAUUCUGAGAGUAACUUUUCAUAUGAACACUGGAUUUUAAGCCCCUUCCCCUUGGAUGAGAAACCUACAGAUUUUGCCUGAGCAACGAGAGCACAUCCUUGUUAAGGUUAAGAUUUCACUGUCUCUGUUCAGAGCCUUCAUUAGGCUACAUCAGAGGACAACUGAGAUGGCUCUGCAAUUAACUGCAGCCAAGCGUCACUUGUUUUUAUAAUGUGACUUGGGUAUAACUGAAAAAUAACUCAUGCCUCUUUUCCUUUCCCUUCUGAACUGGAUAGAUAACUGCACAUAAGUUAACUUUUUAUUUUUGGUACUGGGGAUCAAACUCGGGACCUUGCACUUUCAAGGCAGGCACCAGAACCACUGAGCUAAAUUCCCGGCCCCCACAUAAGUUAAUUUUUUAAAAAAUUCUAGCUAUUUCCUCAAACCUGAGGUAAGAGCAGUUUAGAAGACAUUUAGCAGCCAAGCUCCCCAAGGGAGGCCAGGAACUUCUAACUGACAAGGGCUGCUAAGGCCGCAGAGUCUACCCAGAAUGCAUAUGCAAAGUAUCUGGAAAUUUGGUUUGGGCUUAGAUCUGAGCAAAUCUGAUGUUCUGAUGGAGUUUUUCUGUUCAAGCUCACCUUGAACUUCUGGACUCAAAUGAUUCUCAUGCCUCAGCCUCCUGAUAACUUGGACCUUCAAGUAUGUGCCAUGUUACUAUCACAUGGUGGACACACUUUAUGCCGCUAAAGAGGCCAAAAGCUACUGGCUCACUGGAGACAAGAGGACGUGGGGGAGGAAAGAGGAAGUGUAGGAGGGCGGAGAGAAGGUAAAAGAGAAGGAAAAGGACAGCGAUAAUGAGUUAAAGAAACACGAGCUCAAAAGAGCAUGACACACACAGGCUGUUAUAUAUGUGUGGAUCAUAUGUAAAACUGGACAGCUCAGAUCAGAAAAUGGAACUGUGGUUUCUCACCAAAAGAUCAGACCUGUUAAACCAGGGAAACACUAGAAUACGUUGUCGUCCUCCUCCUCUCUAUCAAGCAUCACCAUCCUUGCCAUGUAGGCUCCGCCUUAGAGACGUGUGAGGGAAGCCCUAAAUCUAUUACAUAUCAUUGCUUUGACCUAGAAAGUCUUUUGUUUUUUUAUAGUACUGGUGAGUCAAUCCAGGGGUGCUCUACUACCAAGCUACAUCCUCACCCCUUCUUAGUUUUUAUUUUGAGACCAGGGUCUCCCUAAGUUGUCCACACUGGACUUGAACUUGUGAUCUUCCUGUCUCAGCCUCCCAAACAGCAAGGAUUACAGAUUUUUUUUUGGUUUUUACUUUUGGUACUGGGGAUCGAACUCAGGACCUUGCACUUGUGAGGCAGGUGGCGGAACCAUUGAGCUAAAUCCCCAGCAAGGAUUACAGAUGCGUGCCACCACCCCAAGCUUGGUCUAGAAAGUCUUACAAAAAUUGAAAAAGUGUUAAUGUUGCAAAUCAACUUCCCUCAAUGAAUUUGUAAAGAAAUAAGAUGCAAACACAACCACAUAAAUGUAAAUUGACUUUUAUAAAAUUUAUAAGUUAAAUAAAAAUGUG
ensembl:lncRNA